UGUAUUCUGCUAUGUCUACUGGGAGAAUACACUAGUGGGGAUAGUUCUGUGUAUACAGUGAUUAAGCACAUAGGUUCUGGAGCCAGUCUGUUUCUUUCAAAAUCACCUCAUUGCUUUUGAAGAAUCAGGGAAACCCCCAUGAGACUACAGGUGUGAAGCAAGAUAGAAGCAUCAGUGCAAAAGAGUUCCUCUAAUCUGAUGGGACACUCCCGCAAUGAUGCUUCAGCUGUAUUUUAACCUCAAGAAACCCUAAGAUCCCUCACUCCUAUGCUGCUGUCAACGGGAGGCUAAGAAGCACAGAGAAAUAGGCCAUACAAAGUCUACCUCUCUGAACACUCUGGUUUGUUGAGAUGACAGAUGGUUAAGUCUCUCUCUGACAUCAAGAGUUAGAGCCAAAGUUAUCAUGGAAUUGUUUCUUUUGGAAUGUCAAGUUUAUGUGCACCGUAUCACUCUUCUGAAAUGGACUCAAGAUUCAGGGUCUCAUCUCACUUUUGAUUUAACUACACUCAUAUUCAUCCAUGUGUGAAAAAUGGUGAUCACACUAGAAAGCUUGUUCUUACUGUUUCCUUGCAUAUCUGAAUACCUGCAUCACAUUCAAAUCUAACUCACUGCCUUAAUUUAAUAGCUGAAAGAAACACUGAACAAGUCACACUCCUGCAAGGGCAUGGAACACAGAAUGAUUCUCUUACUGAGAUACCUUGGAACAUGGUUUGAAUAAUAUUGCUCUAACUUCUUUCAUGUCAGGAAGCUCUGAGAUGCAGAAACACAGAAAGGAAGAGGAUUAGCAACUUUCCCAGAUCUGAGUUGAGCUGAGAUUUGAGUCAAGGCAAUAUUGCUUCUGGGGCUGUAACAACUACAUUUUAUUGUCUCCUGAACAGAUACUUCCUUUUCUUACUUAAUAAGAAUAGACCUUGGAGGUCUGGACCUGGACAUGAACGUACACUUUUCUAAAGAAGAUAUACACAUGGCCAACAAGCAUGUGAAAAAAAGCUCAAUAUCACUGAUCAUUAGAGAAAUGCAAAUGAAAAUCACAAUGAGAGACCAUCUCACACCAGUCAGAAUGGCUAUUAUUAAAAACUCAAAAAAUAACAGAUGCUGGCGAGGUUGCAGAGAAAAGGGAACACUUAUACACUGUUGGUGGGAGUGUAAAUUAGUUCAACUAUUGUGUAAAGCAAUAUGUCAAUUCCUCAAAGAGCUAAAAAAGAACUACCAUUGGACUCAGCAAUCCCAUUACUGGGUAUAUACUCAGAGGAAUAUAAGUCACUCUACUAUAAACACACACGCAUGCAAAUUUUCAUUGUAGCACUAUUUACAAUAGCAAAGACAUGGAAUCAACCUAAAUGCUCAUCAAUGACAGAUCGGAUAAAGAAAAUAUGCAUCUUCAACCUUUCUGGACUACAGCACCUGCCAACUGACCCCCACAUCAUGGCUCCAACGCUGGCUUCAUCACAUAUCUUCUCUCUCAGUCCCUUUGGCUCUCAGGGUGCAAUAGCUUAACAAAAUUGCUGAUCUAGGUGCCUCAGCAUUGUUUCUUUGUCAUAGUCUCUGUAUUAUCUUAUUUUGAGCCAUUCUUUUCCUGCAAAGAUCCUAACUGAAUGAGAUAACUACUUCAUAAGCUAUUUGUAAGGUUUAAAUAAAUUAAUGCAUAUUUAAUACAUGAA
rnacentral:lncRNA from 1 species